rnacentral:rRNA from 1 species
CCUACGGGAGGCAGCAGUGAGGAAUAUUGGUCAAUGGCCGGAAGGCUGAACCAGCCAAGCCGCGUGAAGGACGAAGGUGCCAAGCAUUGUAAACUUCUUUUGUCAAGGGACAAAAUCAUGCUCGAGAGCCUGACCGAGGGUACUUGAAGAAAAAGCAUCGGCUAACCACGUGCCAGCAGCCGCGGUAAUACGGAGGAUGCGAGCGUUGUCCGGUUUUAUUGGGUUAAAGGGGUGCGUAGGCGGGCUGGUAAGUCAGCGGUAAAAUCCCGGGGCUCAACCCCGUCGAGCCGUUGAAACUGGCUGUCUUGAGAUGUCGAGAGGUAUGCGGAAUGCGCAGUGUAGCGGUGAAAUGCUUAGAUAUUGCGCAGAACUCCGAUUGCGAAGGCAGCAUACCGGCGGCGAUCUGACGCUGAGGCACGAAAGCGUGGGUAUCGAACAGGAUUAGAUACCCUUGUAGUC